GAUGAACGCUGGCGGCGUGCUUAACACAUGCAAGUCGAACGGAAAGGCCCUGCUUUUGUGGGGUGCUCGAGUGGCGAACGGGUGAGUAACACGUGAGUAACCUGCCCUUGACUUUGGGAUAACUUCAGGAAACUGGGGCUAAUACCGGAUAGGAGCUCCUGCUGCAUGGUGGGGGUUGGAAAGUUUCGGCGGUUUGGGAUGGACUCGCGGCUUAUCAGCUUGUUGGUGGGGUAGUGGCUUACCAAGGCUUUGACGGGUAGCCGGCCUGAGAGGGUGACCGGCCACAUUGGGACUGGGAUACGGCCCAGAGGCCUACGGGAGGCAGCGGUGGGGAAUAUUGCACACUGGGCGGAGGCCUGAUGCAGCAACGCCGGGUGCGGGAUGACGGCCUUCGGGUUGUAAACCGCUUUCGCCUGUGACGAAGCGUGAGUGACGGUAAUGGGUAAAGAAGCACCGGCUAACUACGU
rnacentral:rRNA from 1 species